UCUAUUACUGUAUCUCCAGGCAGCAGUACAUUUUAUUUUAUUUUAUUUCCCUUUGGGAGGAAUAAAAUAUUCUUGAAUUUGAGUUUUGUGCUUUUAAGCUCAGAGCUAACCAGUCUUGUGCCUCAUGGUUCCUGUUAUGUUGAGAGUAAAGUCUUCUCGCAGUGUUUGGCGUGGGCAGUAUUGGGCCAGACGUUUCUCAGUAGCGUUGAAUAUAAUCCUGUUCUAUGUCUGUAACUGAGGUUCUUGAACAUUUAUUAUUCACUUAAAACCUCAACAUGCGCUUAGGUUUCCACCUCAACCGCCCCCUAAAGCUACCAGAGCUCUUAUCUGUGCAAACCAGUUUAUUUUAAUAAACUAAAGUGUGAAAUGAACUGUACAGUUCCAAAGGCUAAACGAAACAAAGAAGUCACCCCUACGUGUCACUGCAGUAUUCGUCUUCACAGCAGGACAGAGAGGUCCUAUGGUAGCGGCUCUGACCCGGCCUGACGGUGUUUUCGAAAGAGGAGAGAACGGCAACGUUUGUCAAGUCCUGCAAGGACAACCAUGAUUUUCCGGCUAGUUUUUUUUCUCUGAAGGAGAUGAAGUGGAGUGAGCUGGAUUCCAUCUCUGCAGGAGUGACACCUGAACCAAUGCAGCUUCAUUAAAUCUCCCCCUCAGGUCCAGAAACAGCCCCAGUCUCUGAACUACAGAAGAAACUCUCCUGUGUGCAGCUCCUCGCGUUUCGGCAUCAGGCUCCACUAAUGGCUCCUUACCCGCACCGCAGCAGGUUAGACAGACAGUAGAAAGACGAGGCUAUGCUUCACUGAAUUUCCCCAAGAGAAAUAAAGCGUUUUGUGAAAGCGC